rnacentral:rRNA from 1 species
GAUGAACGCUGGCGGCGUGCCUAAUACAUGCAAGUCGAGCGAACGGGCGAGAAGCUUGCUUCUCUGAUGUUAGCGGCGGACGGGUGAGUAACACGUGGAUAACCUACCUAUAAGACUGGGAUAACUUCGGGAAACCGGAGCUAAUACCGGAUGAUAUUUUGAACCGCAUGGUUCAAAAGUGAAAGACGGUCUUGCUGUCACUUAUAGAUGGAUCCGCGCUGCAUUAGCUAGUUGGUAAGGUAACGGCUUACCAAGGCAACGAUGCAUAGCCGACCUGAGAGGGUGAUCGGCCACACUGGAACUGAGACACGGUCCAGACUCCUACGGGAGGCAGCAGUAGGGAAUCUUCCGCAAUGGGCGAAAGCCUGACGGAGCAACGCCGCGUGAGUGAUGAAGGUCUUCGGAUCGUAAAACUCUGUUAUUAGGGAAGACCAUAUGUGUAAGUAACUGUGCACAUCUUGACGGUACCUAAUCAGAAAGCCACGGCUAACUACGUG